UACGGAGGGUGCGAGCGUUGUCCGGAAUCAUUGGGCGUAAAGGGCGCGUAGGUGGCCCGGUCAGUCUUUGGUGAAAGACGGUGGCUCAACCAUCGCAGUGCCUUUGAUACUGAUGAGCUUGAAUACACUUGAGGUAGGCGGAAUGUGACAAGUAGCGGUGAAAUGCAUAGAUAUGUCACAGAACACCAAUUGCGAAGGCAGCUUACUAAGGUGCAAUUGACGCUGAGGCACGAAAGCGUGGGGAUCAAACAGG
rnacentral:rRNA from 1 species